GAUGAACGCUGGCGGCGUGCCUAAUACAUGCAAGUCGAGCGAACAGACGAGGAGCUUGCUCCUCUGACGUUAGCGGCGGACGGGUGAGUAACACGUGGAUAACCUACCUAUAAGACUGGGAUAACUUCGGGAAACCGGAGCUAAUACCGGAUAAUAUAUUGAACCGCAUGGUUCAAUAGUGAAAGACGGUUUUGCUGUCACUUAUAGAUGGAUCCGCGCCGCAUUAGCUAGUUGGUAAGGUAACGGCUUACCAAGGCAACGAUGCGUAGCCGACCUGAGAGGGUGAUCGGCCACACUGGAACUGAGACACGGCCCAGACUCCUCCGGGAGGCAGCAGUAGGGAAUCUUCCGCAAUGGGCGAAAGCUUGACGGAGCAACGCCGCGUGAGUGAGGAAGGUCUUCGGAUCUUAAAACUUUGUUAUUAGGGAAGAACAAAUGUGAAAGUAACUAUGCACGUUUUGACGGUACCUAAUAAGAAAGCCACGGCUAACUCCGGG
rnacentral:rRNA from 1 species